UACAGAGGUCUCAAGCGUUGUUCGGAAUCACUGGGCGUAAAGGGUGCGUAGGCCGCACGGUAAGUCAGAGGUGAAAUCCCGGAGCUCAACUUCGGAAUUGCCUCCGAUACUGCCGUGCUUGAGGACUGGAGAGGAGUCUGGAAUUCGCAGUGGAGCAGUGAAAUGCGUAGAUAUUGGGAAGAACACCGAUGGCGAAGGCAGCCAUCUGGACCGACACUGACGCUGAGGCGCGAAAGCGUGGGGAGCAAACAGG
rnacentral:rRNA from 1 species